rnacentral:rRNA from 1 species
GACGAACGCUGGCGGCGUGCUUAACACAUGCAAGUCGAACGAGAGCGUAGAGAAAGCUUGCUUUUUCUACAAUCUAGUGGCAAACGGGUGAGUAACGCGUAAACAACCUGCCCUACGGAUGGGGACAACAGCUGGAAACGGCUGCUAAUACCGAAUACGUUCCGAAAGUCGCAUGACUAUCGGAAGAAAGGAUGGCCUCUAUUUAUAAGCUAUCGCCGGAGGAGGGGUUUGCGUCUGAUUAGCUAGUUGGAGGGGUAACGGCCCACCAAGGCGACGAUCAGUAGCCGGUCUGAGAGGAUGAACGGCCACAUUGGAACUGAGACACGGUCCAGACUCCUACGGGAGGCAGCAGUGGGGAAUCUUCCCCAAUAGGCGAAAGCCUGACGGAGCAACGCCGCGUGAGUGAAGACGGCCUUCGGGUUGUAAAGCUCUGUUAUACGGGACGAAUAAUCUUGUGGUUAAUACCCAUGAGAAGUGACGGUACCGUAAGAGAAAGCCACGGCUAACUACGUG